rnacentral:siRNA from 1 species
CGGGGUACAACCCCUGUUUUUGGUCCC